GCGCGAGACCGAUAGCGAACAAGUACCGUUGAGGGAAAGAUGAAAAGAACUUUGAAAAGAGAGUUAAAGAGUACCUGAAACUGCUGAAAGGGAAGCGAAUCGUAUCCAGUGUCUAUAAUCUGCGGCAUAUUUCAUUGGCGGCGGUGCGCGUGCUUUUGCGUCGGAAGCGGCUUUUGUUGCUCUGUGCUUUUGCUGUGCGUGGUGUUGCUGGUGCCCUGUGUUGCGGUGGGACGUCAGAGUCAGUUUGUAUGCUGCGGGAAAUGGCUGCCGAGGAGGUAGGUCGAGAUUUCGGUCUUGGCUGUUAUAUCUUGGUGGUUUGUUGUCGUGGUUGAGACUGAGGUGCCUACAAUGUGCUUUUGAGUGUACCGGGUUCUCAUUUGGUGGACUGUUUGGAUAGCUUGCUAUGCUUGUGGUUUUUUCAUCGGGUGAUUGAGUCCUGGUGGUAACUUGUUGCUGUUCGGGACUUUGAA
rnacentral:rRNA from 2 species